rnacentral:rRNA from 1 species
GCUCUACAACCCUUUGUGACAUACCUAUAACUGUUGCUUCGGCGGGUAGGGUCUCCGUGACCCUCCCGGCCUCCCGCCCCCGGGCGGGUCGGCGCCCGCCGGAGGAUAACCAAACUCUGAUUUAACGACGUUUCUUCUGAGUGGUACAAGCAAAUAAUCAAAACUUUUAACAACGGAUCUCUUGGUUCUGGCAUCGAUGAAGAACGCAGCGAAAUGCGAUAAGUAAUGUGAAUUGCAAAAUUCAGUGAAUCAUCGAAUCUUUGAACGCACAUUGCGCCCGCCAGCAUUCUGGGGGGCAUGCCUGUUCGAGCGUCAUUUCAACCCUCAAGCUCUGCUUGGUGUUGGGGCCCUACAGCUGAUGUAGGCCCUCAAAGGUAGUGGCGGACCCUCCCGGAGCCUCCUUUGCGUAGUAACUUUACGUCUCGCACUGGGAUCCGGAGGGACUCUUGCCGUAAAACCCCCAAUUUUCCAAAGGUUGACCUCGGAUCAGGAAGGAAUACCCGCUGAACUUAAGCAUAUCAAUAAGACGGAGGAA